rnacentral:rRNA from 4 species
CAGUGAUAAACUGGAGGAAGGUGGGGAUGACGUCAAGUCAUCAUGGCCCUUACGACCAGGGCUACACACGUGCUACAAUGGCGCAUACAAAGAGAAGCGACCUCGCGAGAGCAAGCGGACCUCAUAAAGUGCGUCGUAGUCCGGAUUGGAGUCUGCAACUCGACUCCAUGAAGUCGGAAUCGCUAGUAAUCGUGGAUCAGAAUGCCACGGUGAAUACGUUCCCGGGCCUUGUACACACCGCCCGUCACACCAUGGGAGUGGGUUGCAAAAGAAGUAGGUAGCUUAACCUUCGGGAGGGCGCUUACCACUUUGUGAUUCAUGACUGGGGUGAAGUCGUAACAAGGUAACCGUAGGGGAACCUGCGGU